rnacentral:tRNA from 1 species
GGGGGUUUAGUAUAAUGGCAGUGCUAUGGUCUCCAAAACCACAAGUAAGGGUUCGAUUCCUUUAACCCCUGCCA